AAUUUUCCGCAAUGGGCGAAAGCCUGACGGAGCAAUACCGCGUGAGGGAUGACGGCCUAUGGGUUGUAAACCUCUUUUUUCAGGGAGGAAUCAAUGACGUGUACCUGAAGAAUAAGCAUCGGCUAACUCCGUGCCAGCAGCCGCGGUAAGACGGAGGAUGCAAGUGUUAUCCGGAAUCAUUGGGCGUAAAGCGUCUGUAGGUGGUUUAAUAAGUCAACUGUUAAAUCUUGAGGCUCAACCUCAAAAUCGCAGUCGAAACUAUUAGACUAGAGUAUAGUAGGGGUAAAGGGAAUUUCCAGUGGAGCGGUGAAAUGCGUAGAGAUUGGAAAGAACACCGAUGGCGAAGGCACUUUACUGGGCUAUUACUAACACUGAGAGACGAAAGCUAGGGUAGCAAAUGGGAUUAGAUACCCCAGUAGUCCUAGCCGUA
rnacentral:rRNA from 1 species